UUACUAGAGUAGCACUCGCAUAUCAAUAAGCGGAGGAAAAGAAACUAACAAGGAUUCCCCUAGUAACGGCGAGUGAAGCGGGAAGAGCUCAAAUUUGAAAUCUUAAAGGGUUUCCCUUUACGAAUUGUAGUUUAAAGAAGUGUUUUCUGUUGAGGUUUUGGUAAAAGUUCUUUGGAAUAGGACAUCAUAGAGGGUGAGAAUCCCGUAUUUGACCUUUACUUUCAACUUUGUGAUACACUUUCAAAGAGUCGGAUUGUUUGGGAAUGCAGUCCAAAAUGGGUGGUAAAUUUCAUCUAAAGCUAAAUAUUGGCGAGAGACCGAUAGCGAACAAGUACCGUGAGGGAAAGAUGAAAGGAACUUUGAAAAGAGAGUUAAACAGUACGUGAAAUUGUCAAAAGGGAAGCGUUUGACACCAGUGUUGUUUUUCUGAAAAUCAAUUAAAGAACUGUUUAUGCUAAGUUGUUUAGACUUUAUCAGCUAUCUGCUUAGUUUUGAGCUUUUCUUUAAUGCACUUUUCAGUUAACAAGUCAACAUCAAUUUACUUUUGCUGUAAAAAAGCUUGAGGAAGGUGGCUUGAGAUUCGUCUUAAGUGUUUAUAGCCUCUUGCCUAUGCAGUCGGGGAGAUUGAGGUCUGCAGCGUAGAUCCUUCGGGGCUAAAUGCAUUUGUGCUAAGUUAUAGCAUUUUAUAGACAACUUGUUGACUAUGAUUUGUCUUGUAGCUUACUCGCUUAUGUUAUUUUACCUACGCUUAGGAUGUUGAACUCUAUCACACACAG
rnacentral:rRNA from 1 species